AACGAACGCUGGCGGCAGGCCUAACACAUGCAAGUCGAGCGAGGACUUCGGUCCUAGCGGCGGACGGGUGAGUAACGCGUGGGAACGUGCCCUUUGCUUCGGAAUAGCCCUGGGAAACUGGGAGUAAUACCGGAUGAGCCCUUUGGGGGAAAGAUUUAUCGGCGAAGGAUCGGCCCGCGUUGGAUUAGGUAGUUGGUGGGGUAAUGGCCUACCAAGCCGACGAUCCAUAGCUGGUUUGAGAGGAUGAUCAGCCACACUGGGACUGAGACACGGCCCAGACUCCUACGGGAGGCAGCAGUGGGGAAUCUUAGACAAUGGGGGAAACCCUGAUCUAGCCAUGCCGCGUGAGCGAUGAAGGCCUUAGGGUUGUAAAGCUCUUUCAGCUGGGAAGAUAAUGACGGUACCAGCAGAAGAAACCCCGGCUAACUCCGUG
rnacentral:rRNA from 1 species